rnacentral:lncRNA from 1 species
UUUAAGAGUAAGAUUCAGAUAAAAAUGUUUUCCUAAUGAGUAGUAUGCUUUGGUAUAGUAUUAUUACAGGAAAGACCAAAAUUCCAAUCAUCCUUGCUAAAUUGUACGUCUGCUAACUUCAGCUAUUUGAGAUUUUUUUUUAAAAAAAAGUUAAACCAUUUCUGAGUAACAUAAGAAGUAUGCGCAGUUCCCUUGUGCACGGAAAUGAAAAUGUGAUCUAUUCAUUCCAUCUUAUUUCAAAUUAUUUAGAAAAUUAGGUGAGUCUGAUGAUUCAUGAAACAAACUUUAAAAUUAUGUUCAAUACAGCAUAUUGUACUCUUCGUGAUUGUGAUAAUAAUCAUUAUCAUUUUUGAGUACUGGCUUUUAUGUACUACAUUUAUAAUUCUCACAAGAAUUCACCUAAAAGUACUUUUAUCUAAUGUGUUCAUCAUUUGCCCAAGACUAACCACAAAAAGACAGGACCAAGAAUCAAACUAUGUCUAACACCAAAUCCUGAUCUCUGUUCCUGAAUCAAUGACAUUUAAACUGUUUUGUAGAAUCACUGUAUUUUAUACCAUGACCUCACUAUCAUGCUGUCAAUCAAGCAUUGUGAAGAAACUGAGAUUCUCUUUGUUAUUUUUUUUAUUAAGAGGGAGGCAGGAGGGGCAGCGGGAGAAGGAGAGAGAGAAUCUCAAGCAGGCUCCACACCCAUCACGGUGCUCAACACAGGGCUUAAUCUCAUGACCCCAGGAUCAUGACCUGAACCAAAAUCGAGUCAGACACUUAACCAAUUGAGCCACCCGGGUGCCCUAAGAACACUAAGAUUCUAAAUUACUAAGGCCAGAAAUAUUCUAGUGAAGCAAUUCUCAUAACCAUUUAGUGGGAAAGGAUACUAAUUGGGUAUUAGGGGGUAAAAACUCUCUUAAAAAGUUCCAUCAGGGCAGCCCAAGUGGCUCAGUGGUUUAGUGCCACCUUCAGCCCAGGGUGUGAUCCUGGAGACCCAGGAUCAAGUCCCGCUUCGGGGCCCCCUGCAUGGGGCCUGCUUCUCUGCCUGUGUCUCUGUCUCUGUCUCUCUCUUUUUCAUUAAAUAAAUAAAAUCUUUAAAAAAAUUCCAUCAGCCAGGAUCUCCAAAUUCCACAGAUGUUUAAUUCUCCUUCCCAUGGUUUACCUCUUCAACUGGGUUCUAGAAUCACCUACUGACACCAAGCUGAGUCCUCAGACCAGGAGCUUGGGUGCUUGUUAGAAAUGCCUAAUCUCAGGCCCUAUAUCUAAUGACUGAAUUAGAAUCUCUAUUUUGACAAGAUCUGGCAUCUAUGCUCAUUCAAAUUUGAAAUGCUCUGCUAGAUGACACAUAUCUUAUCCCCUGCCCCCCAUUAGAUCCCUCAGUCAUCCCAUUUCUUACCUGUGUUCUCAACUUCUCUCUGCUGUUUUUUGUUUGCUAUUGUUUACCCUCACAUAGAAAUACUUUUUAAAAAGUCCUCUGCUGAUCCUGCCUCCACACACCUAAGACCUCAUUUCUCUUUUCUCAACCAUGUGCCUUGAAGGAAGUGUCUGUCCUUCCUGAAUCUCUAUCUUUGCCUCCUGUUUGUAUCUUAACCCACUGCAAGAUAGUUUAAUUAUGCACCAAGUAUCAUCUGGCCCUCUACUACAUGCCAAACGUUGUAACAGACUAUGAGGAUAAACUGGUGUGCAAGAGACACAGUCCUUUUAUUCAAAUGACUGUCUCUGAAAUUCUUUUGACAGAUAACCAACUCACCCUCUAAAUUACCAAUUCCACUUUUCAUGCACUAUCAGAUAGGAGGAUUCAGUGGUCUUCCAUAAAUCAAAGAUUAAAGAGAUUUUGCAAAAAUGUAGAAUACUGCUGCUCUUCUUUUUAAAGAAAAUAUUUUAAUAUGGUUCUUAUUUUAACAUAUGAUGAACUUAUUUUUAUUUUAAAAUUAAUUAAUAUUCUGAAAAUGUGUUUUCAUCUCCAGUAUUUGUAGGUCAACAGAUAUCCCUACAAAAGUUUGCUCUCAGGGCAUUGGGUAGCUCUGUGGUUGAGUGUCUGCCUUUGGCUCAGCUCAUGAUCCAGGGCUCCUGGGAUCAGGUCCUGCAUUAGGCUCCUCCUCCCAGGGAGCCUGCUUCUCCCUCUGCCUCUCUCUCUGUCUCUCAUGAAUAAAAAAAAAUAAAAUCUUAAAAAAAAAAUUCUCUCUUUUGGCCUCUCAAUAAUUUUUAAGAAUGUGAAGUGGUUUCUGAGACUGAAAAGUUUGAGAACAACUAGAUCUCAUUUUGAAACCAGGUGAGUUGCUCAACAAAUUGCUAAAAUCUACAUAGAUAUCAACUAUACAAUUAAUAUUGGAGGGAUAUGAAUAAAUUGGCCUAAGCAUUUUCUAUCCUAUAUUUCUUAACUAAGCUAAAGAUGUCAUUUUCUCUAGGCAUUUCACGCACAGGAAGAAAGCAAUAGUUGACCACUAGCCCUGAAAAGCUGAAAGUCUGUUGCACCUGAGUGGCUCAGUCAGUUAAGUGUCUUUCUUGGGCUUUGGUUAUGAUUCUGGGGUCCUGGAAUCAAGCCCCUUGUCAGACUCCCUGCUCAGUAAGGAGCUUGCUUCUCUUUCUCUUUCUCCUACCCGCCUCUUCCCCACCCAGUACAUGCUAUCUCUCUUGCUGUAUCUCAAAUAAAUAAAUAAAAUAUAUUUUUUAAAACCCCAAAAUUAAAAGCUUUCGUAGGAAUAUUUUUAGUAUCUGAGAUACAUGCUCUUUGUUCCCUGAAAAUGGAAAACAAGGUAAAAACUAAAACAGUAAGGAGAAUAGUUGGCUUUAAACAUUCCUUCUGUCUUUAUUUUGCCCACAAGCAAUAUUUUCUAAAGUUCUUAAAAUCAGUACCAGUAUGCUCUUAUCUUGAAUAUCAGACUAUGGCUUUAAGAGCAAUUCUAUUUAUCACAUUAAAAUGAAGAAAUAUUUAAGGCAUUUGCAUUUUGUUUAUAAAAGAAAUCAAUUUCUCAGAAGAAUGCAUAUUUUCAAUUAUACCCAGACCUGAAAUAUCAUGCUUUGGUCUCCACAGUAAAAAUACGAAACAAUGUAAUAUUCCCAUUAACUGUGUACACUAUUAUCAAUAUAUAUAGUUAUUUAGUGGCAGAGAAGGACAGGAGGAACUUUUUCCAAGUACCUUGUACUGGAGGCAGAAUAAAGAAAAAUAACUUGGGGAUCCCUGGGUGGCUCAGUGGUUUCAUGCCUGCUUUUGGCCCAGGGCGCGAUCCUGGAAUCCCGGGAUCAAGUCCCGCAUCUGGCUCCCGGUAAGGAGCCUGCUUCUCCCUCUGCCUGUGUCUCUGCGCCUCUCUCUCUUUAUGUCUAUCAUAAAUAAAUAAAAAUAAAUCU